rnacentral:lncRNA from 1 species
CUCCACUCAAAGGACAGUAUAGUGGAGAAGAAGCUGGAGAAGGAAAAGACAGCAUCUUUUUUUUUUUUAAAGAUUUUAUUUUUAUUUGAUAGAGACACAGCGAGAGAGGGAACACAAGCAGAGGGAGAGGGAGAAGCAGGCUUCCUGUUGAGCAGAGAGCCCAAUGGAGGGCUCGAUCCCAGGACCCUGGGAUCAUGACCUGAGCCAAAGACAGAUGCAUAAUGACCAAGCCACCCAGUUCUAUAGAGGAGAAGAAACCAGUGCAAUGAUAUGUAACAGGAGAAAAUGAUCCAGCUUUGGAGAAAAGGAAGAUAUCAGGGAGGGCUUCCCGGAGGAAGUCACAUUAAGCUGCCCCUAAAAGGAUGAUCUGGGACAGAUCCGGUUGAGACAGGAAGAAAAAGGAUUGCAGCCCCCCAAUGUAGAAUGUACAGGAAGAAUUUCUCACUUUUUAAAGAAAUGGGAAGAUGGUCAUGUGGCUGGAACCCGGAGACCACAAGAGACAAAGACAAGAGGAAGCUAGAGCGGUAGAUGGGGGACAGAUCUUCUAAGGCCUAGAAAGCCAGUGAGUAUAAAUAUGAAUAUUUUAAUUCCAGCAUCAGUGUGAAGCACUAUGGAUCAAACCUUUCAGUUUCAAGGUAAGAUUAAAGCGAGUUCUUGGUUUGGAAAACAAAAUGGAUUCUACCCUGAUCCACAUGGCUAUUACUGAAGUUUACAUGCUUAAAAAUUCC